rnacentral:rRNA from 1 species
AUUGUGCCAGCCGCCGCGCGGUAAUACAGAGGGUGCAAGCGUUAAUCGGAUUUACUGGGCGUAAAGCGCGCGUAGGCGGCUAAUUAAGUCAAAUGUGAAAUCCCCGAGCUUAACUUGGGAAUUGCAUUCGAUACUGGUUAGCUAGAGUGUGGGAGAGGAUGGUAGAAUUCCAGGUGUAGCGGUGAAAUGCGUAGAGAUCUGGAGGAAUACCGAUGGCGAAGGCAGCCAUCUGGCCUAACACUGACGCUGAGGUGCGAAAGCAUGGGGAGCAAACAGGAUUAGAUACCCUGGUAGUCCGUGCCGUAAACGAUGUCUACUAGCCGUUGGGGCCUUUGAGGCUUUAGUGGCGCAGCUAACGCGAUAAGUAGACCGCCUGGGGAGUACGGUCGCAAGACUAAAACUCAAAUGAAUUGACGGGGGCCCGCACAAGCGGUGGAGCAUGUGGUUUAAUUCGAUGCAACGCGAAGAACCUUACCUGGCCUUGACAUAGUAAGAACUUUCCAGAGAUGGAUUGGUGCCUUCGGGAACUUACAUACAGGUGCUGCAUGGCUGUCGUCAGCUCGUGUCGUGAGGUGUUGGGUUAAGUCCCGCAACGAGCGCAACCCUUUUCCUUAUUUGCCAGCGAGUAAUGUCGGGAACUUUAAGGAUACUGCCAGUGACAAACUGGAGGAAGGCGGGGACGACGUCAAGUCAUCAUGGCCCUUACGGCCAGGGCUACACACGUGCUACAAUGGUCGGUACAAAGGGUUGCUACCUAGCGAUAGGAUGCUAAUCUCAAAAAGCCGAUCGUAGUCCGGAUUGGAGUCUGCAACUCGACUCCAUGAAAGGUGGAAUCGCUAGUAAUCGCGGAUCAGCACGCCGCGGUGAAUACGUUCCCGGGCCUUGCACACACCGCCCGUCAAAU